rnacentral:rRNA from 1 species
UACGUAGGCAGCAAGCGUUGUUCGGAAUUACUGGGCGUAAAGAGUGUGUAGGCGGUGUUCCAAGUCUGGUGUGAAAUCUCCCGGCUUAACUGGGAGGGUGCAUUAGAAACUGGAAUGCUAGAGUGUGGUAGGGGAGAUCGGAAUUCCUGGUGUAGCGGUGAAAUGCGCAGAUAUCGGGAGGAACACCGGUGGCGAAGGCGGUUCUCUGGGCCUUACCUGGACGUCUGAGGAGCGAAAGCGUGGGGAGCGAACAGG